AGGUGCUGCAUGGCUGUCGUCAGCUCGUGUUGUGAAAUGUUGGGUUAAGUCCCGCAACGAGCGCAACCCUUAUCCUUUGUUGCCAGCGAGUAAUGUCGGGAACUCAAAGGAGACUGCCGGUGAUAAACCGGAGGAAGGUGGGAUGACGUCAAGUCAUCAUGGCCCUUACGAGUAGGGCUACACACGUGCUACAAUGGGUGGUACAAAGAGAAGCCAACUCGCGAGAGCGCGCCAAUCUCAAAAAGCCAUCCUCAGUUCGGAUUGGAGUCUGCAACUCGACUCCAUGAAGUUGGAAUCGCUAGUAAUCGCGGAUCAGCAUGCCGCGGUGAAUACGUUCCCGGGCCUU
rnacentral:rRNA from 1 species